AAUAUUUACCAGUCGCUAACAAAAUCGAUCACAUGAUUAUUUCCUGUCAAGCAGUCGAAAAGCAGUUAUGGUAGACAGAAAAACACUACCAGUUGUUAUUGUGACGGGGUUUUGGGCAUUUGUUGGAAUAAUAUGUCCAAUUCUCAUUCAACUGUUUAUGAGAAGAUCAGCAAAUAAAGGGUAUUUGGUUAUAUAUUUGUCAUACAAUACAGUAAUCAUUAUAAAAACAACUGUCAUGUACACAUGUACAGUACUCAUGUAGAAAUUGUUAGAGGGAAAUAUUGAUGGUUUUUUCUAUAGAAUUCUAAAUAGUAUGUAUAACAAUGACAGACUCUGUGUGAGGGUAGAUAAUUAAAUAACUGAUUUUUUUAGUUCAAAAGUUGGAGUCUGUCAAGGCGAUAUUUUAAGUCCUAACCUGUUUAAAUUUUUCAUAAACGAUUUGCCCAAAGCUUUAGAGGACAACUGUGACUGUUUACAAUUAAAUAAUAAAUGACAAAUGUGUACCUUGCCUUCUCUAUGCGGAUGACCUGGUGUUAUUUUCAGAUAAUAAAAAGGGGUUACAAACCCAACUUAAUAUUUUAUACCAAUAUUGUAAUGAGGGUGGUAAAGGGGGGUGCUUGCACGAAAAAAAUGUGAAAUAAGACAUAAUAUCACGUUGAACGUGAAAUAAUUUCUGUAAUGAAUGUUUCACGAAAAAUAAAUACUUUCAUUUAAACCUUUUGUGACUGAGCACUGUUUCUUGUAUAUAUUAAACUCUUUGUUUUACUUGAUAUUCCGAUUUAGUAUACACUUUAUGAUAUAAUUGGUUUACGGCUUUUAAAAAGUAUUUCUUGACGAUCCUGCCAUGUGUUGAAUUUAUUUGAAAAAUACGAGCACGCAAAAUAAGACUUUAAAAACACGAUGCACGUAAAAUUAAAUAAGCAGAACACGUUGAAUGAGGCACCCGUCUUGCACGACUGAACGUCAAAUAAAAAAGUAAAAACACGUUGAACAUGAAAUAAAAAACGGCGAUCACGUUGCACGAAAAUAACCCUUUACCACCCUCUGUAAUGACUGGUGUCUUGAAAUAAACACAAAGAAAACACAAAUUAUAAUCUUAAUAAAACGGGAGACUUACUGUCAGAUAAUUUAAUAACAUGUAGGUCAUGUAGGUGCAAACAGAAUAGAGUGUGUGAAAUUCUAUAAAUACUUAGGAUUAGUUCUUACUAAUACUGCAUGUACUGGAAAAUUUAAUGCAGCUAAAAAAAACCUAUAUGAUAAAGGACUAAAGCUUCAUUUAAAUUUUACAAAACAUUAGUCAUGUUCUCCAUCUAUUUAGGACUUUACUUCAUAUUUUGAUCACACCAUCAAACCAAUAGCUUUAUAUGGCUGUGAAAUAUGGGGUAUGUUAAAUUUGACUCAAAAAAGAAGAGCCAUGCACUUUUUGAAAUCUCAAAGAUUGGGAACCUGAUAAAUUAAAUCUUAAAUUUUGCAAGUAUGUCUUGGUGUCUCCAAAAAUUGCACAAAUAUUGAGUUAUAUCAGAGCUAGGUAGAUUUCCGUUAUUAUUAACAUAGUAAUUCAAAUGUUUAUGUAUUGGCCCGCCUUGAAACUCGCCCACUGAUCUCUUAAGUGAUGCUUUAUAUUGAAAAGCUCCUCUGAUAAAAACUGUGGCUAAUCAAUCGUGGUAUGCAAACAUAAAGUUUUUUAGUGAAAAACUUGGUUUAAAUUUAGUAGCUUUGUAAAAAACUCAGUAAAAAUAAUUCAAAUUUACUUAGAAAUGUAUCAAACUGAUUUUUAACAUAUUGGAGCAAUCAAAAAGAUUAAUAAAAAAGAUGAUCACAGUAAAUUGAGCAACUACUUUAAAUUAAACAUAUUUCACUUUUGAAGAUUACUUAAUAUUUAAGACAGAGAUAAGAGAGUUAUACUAACUAGAUUUAGAAUAAGUAAUCAUUGUCCCGCAUAGAGAGAGGCCGUUACGAACGAAAAAUUGAUGAACAUGGAAAAAAUAUUACACUGCCAAGAUCAGAGAGAACAUGCCAGUUUUGUUCAAUGAACUCGGUUGAAGACGAAGAACAUUUUUUAUUUAAAUGUACCCUUAUAAUAAGGAGAAAAACCUUUCUGGUGAACUCUUUACAAAGAUACCAAUUUAUCCAAAUAUCCGAUAGUAAUCUGCUUUAUUUGGUCAUGUCAAAUGAAGCCUUCAUUUAACUCUAAAAUUAUGUGGAAUUGCUAUCCUCAUUUACACAUUGAGAAACUAAAUAUUUGCUUAACUGAAAACUUACAAAACACUAUUUAUAGUCUUCACCAGUUCAUUGUCACUUUAUACUUGAAAUGUUUUUUCUUUUUCUUUUCUGCAGUAAGGUUAUCCUUCGUCCACAUAUACAAUGUAGGCCAACUGACUCUCCUAAAAAAAUUUGUGUAUGUAUUUUAUCUGUAUUUUAUUUUCACUUUACAUGUGACUGUUAAUCAAUCAUCCUUAAUCAGACGUAGUUGUAUGUGUGAGUGUAUCCGAGUGGGAAGAAGGCUUUUUAUUUUUAUGCCCCACCUACGAUAGUAGAGGGCAUAUGUUUUCUGGUUGUGCGUCCGUCCGUUCGUCCGUUGUUCGUCCGUUGUCCCGCUUCAGGUUAAAGUUUUGGUCAAGUAGUUUUGAUGAAUUGAAGUCCAAUCGACUUCAAACUUGGUACACAUGUUCCCUAUGAUAUGAUCUUUCUAAUUUUAAUGCCAAAUUAGAGAUUUUACCCCAAUUUCAUGGUCCACUUGAACAUAGAAAAUGAUGUGCGAGUGGGCAUUCGUGUACUGAGGACACAUUCUGUUAUUUAUGUGAUUCUGCUUUUUGAGCCUAUGAUUAAUAAAAUAUCUUUAUCUUUAUCUUAGUAGUCACUGUACUAGUCCAAAUAAUUAUGACGUGGUCAUAAUUAUUUGGACUAGUAUAUAUACGUACAGUACGGUCAUCACUGUUGACAAAGUGUUGUAAAUCAUUAGUCUGAAGACGACAUUUGAAAGGUUAAUGUUGUGAUCAUUAUCUUGAUCAUCAGUAAUUCACUUCCUAUUUGUAAACAGGGUCAGACCUACAAAAUGUAUAAUCCAACAGUCCCAUAAUCCGACAACCCGAUAGUCCGACAGUCCCACAAAAUCUGACAGCUCAAUAGUCCGUGUAGGAUCGUCUUACUGUCAGCCUGUUGGACUAGUAUUAAAACCGUCGGAAUUUUGGGGUGUUGGAUUAUAGCUACAUUCCCUUUGUUAACCACAUGGAAAACUAUUUGUACUGUUUUUACAUGUACCUACAGCAGGUUGGGAACAAACCCUCUAUAUGGUGUUUAUACCUGUAUAGAGGGAGAAUACUUCUAUAUAGGAUAAAUUAUCCUUCUAUAGAAGGAUGUUUUUGUUAAGACCGGAUUUAAAGCAAAAUACUUAUUUUAAUAUGCACAUGCCCAGUUUACUGCUAAACUGACGGAUAUACAAUCUAUUAAUUUGUUCAUCAUAAUUGAAAGCUGUGAUGAUCAGGUAAAUUCCACUCAGUUAUAAAUACCUCUAUGAAGUGCAGUCUGUCACUUUUUGUAAAUUACAAAUACGUUUACUGAUUUUGUGUCUGACCGGGUUAGAUACCCAUUAUCCUUUGUUUUUCUAUUAUUAUGUAUUCAAUGGUUGAGAAGCUUUAGUCUCUAUUCAAUUUGGUUGUUUUUUUAUACGACACCAAAAAAAUUUUGGGUUCGUAUAAUGGUGUGUCGUCGUCGUCGUCCGAAGACACUUUGGUUUCCGGAUAAUAACUUUAGUUUAAGUGAAUAGAUCUUAAUGAAAUUUUUUCAGAAGGUUCAAUACCACAGAAGGAAGGUUGGGAUUUAUUGUGGGGAUGAUGGUCCGAACCGUUUAGGAAUUAGGGCCAAAAAGGCCAAAACAAGCAUUUUUCUAGUUUCAGGAUAAUACUUGUUUACCAGUAUUUCAAUUGCUCUGGAAGUAUACUGCAAUGUUUAAAAUCACAAGUAGAGGUUUGGAUUCAUUAAGGGUUAUGGGCCAAAGUUUAGGAAUUAAGGCCUAAAGGGCCAAAACAAGCAUUUUUCUAGUUCCAGACAAUACCUAGGUGUAAUGCAUGGAUCUCUCUGAAAUUGUACCACAAUGUACCAAUAAAAAGGGGAGGCUGGAUAAGUUUUGGGUUAUUGCCCAAAAUAUGUAGGAUUAAGGACAAAAGGGCCAAAAAGAAGCAUGUUCUAGUUUCCAAACAAUCAUGACAAUAACUUGUGUUUAAGUGUAUGGAUCUCUCUGAAGUCGUACUACAGGUUCAUAUUACAAAGAAAGCCUGGGAUUGAGUUUAAGGUUAUGCUCCAAGGGGGUUUCAAUAAAUUGGGGGGAUCUCAGUUACAUUUUUUUAAGGAUUUUUUUUUUUCCAACAUUUUUCAAAUUUCAAAUUUUGAAAAGUUUCAAAAAGAAAUAUUCAAUUGCACAGUAUUGUGCAAUAGAUGUGUUAGAUCUUGAACCACAUUUAUUUUGUGGCAAAAACCUAUAUUAUGUCAAAAAUUUGAUCACAAUCAAAAUUCAGACAGUAUCAGCUUGAAUAUUGUGAACCAAUUUGCCCCAACUGCUCAGGGUUCGACCACUGGGGUCGUAUAAAGCUGCGCCCUGCGGAGCACCUGGUUAUUAUUAUAUAUUCAAUGGUUGAUAAGCUUUACUCCCUAUAGGUUCUUAAUGUGAUUGUUGUUUUUUUGCAUUUAUUUAAAUUUUCUAGAAAUGCUGGAUUGUUUUGGCUAUGCACAUGAUGUACAUGUAUUGGGCAAAAAUGCAUAAACUCUUCAAAACAGGCCUGUUGAAUGUUUUAUUGUUACAAUUUUGAUAAGAAUACCCUAAUAAGGUGGAAUUUAAUUACAACAAUGUGUUCAUGUAUGUUGUAUAUUAUUUGUUUCAAUAAUCAUGUUACCGUAAAUAUAUAUAUUUAUUUCAAUUACAGAGUUGUUCAGUUAAUGUUAGCUAUGAGUGCAGCCUGCUGUUGGUUAUUGUAAGUAUAGUAUACACCUAACCAUUUAACAUAUGCCAAUACACAGAGAUUUGUUGACCCACCUCUCAGUCAUGGUCUAUGAUUAUGAUACUUUUGAGUAGUUUACAUUUUAAAAUUUGUGAUUAGGUCAAUUCAAGAUGAACCAAUAAUGGAAAGUGCCUUAGUCAGUGAUAUUUGGAAUGCUACUAUUAUAAGCAUUUGCAGGUCAUAAUUUCUAUGCAGACUGUAUGGCCCUACUCCUCAGUCAUGGUUCAUUGACAAAAAGUGUACAUAGUUUACAUGUUAAAAUUUGUGUUUAGGUUAGUGUAGAGGGACCAAUGUACAUAUGUUGCUAUAUGUUUUUGUCAGUUAUAAUUUGUGCAUAACACAGAAUUGUGGGUAGAUGGGCCUUUACUUAAAUGCCAGUUUUCUAUUUUUAAUAUGAUCAUAAAAUAUAAUCUACAAUAAAUACUUCACCUCUCUCACUGCACAAUGUCAGAAAUGAUCAGAAUUUAUACACCUUUUCUAUGUCAGAUACAUACUUACAAUAACACAUAUUAACAAUAAAACUUUUGAGGUUUCACUGAUAUUUAUUAUAUAAUUAUAAUUUGAACUGUUUUUCAGCUGGUUAUUGGCCUUUUUGUUCCAACUUAAUCCCCUGAUGGGUCCAGCUUUAAGCACCGACUUGAUUAGAGUCCUGCAAAUGGAAUGGACUGGAGAUCCAAACCAUGCAAGAGUAUGAGGCUAAACGAAUUAGGGAAUCAUGUUAAAGGUAGGUUUGAUACAUGUAUUUACUCAAGGAAAAACAUGUAGCAGAUGUACAAAAAACCACAAUGUAAAUAAACUUAAGUGUGGGUUUGAAGACAAUGGGCAUGAGGGUUUGUAGCCAGAGAUAUCCUGCAAGUAACUCAUGUAAUAACGUUUUGAUGACAGCUUUUUAAAGUCAUUGUUUUAUAGUUAAAGUUGGCAUUAUAAAGCAAAACUUGUAAAUAUAAUUCAGUCUUAAUUGAGUUUUUCAUUUAAAAGUGUUAUAAAAAAAAUACUGAACUAGUAAAUUCAAAAACGGAAAGUCCAAAAUAACUGACAAAAUCAAAUGCUAUUAAUCAACAGAACAAGUGAAAAACAACUAGCAUAUUCCUGACUUGUUAUAGGCAUUUCUUUAGAAAAUGCUUGGUUAAUCCUGUGGUGUUAUAGCUACCUAAACCCCCAUCUUGUAUGACAGUUGUUUAUACUUCCAGAAGAAUAAGUAAAAUGGCCACAAAAGUCACUGUUGAUAAAAAGAAAGAAAAAACCAAGGUGUUGUUCACAAUACAGUUUAUGUACAUUUGUUUAAAUGAAAAGAAAGGAUAUAGGGUAUCCAUCCUUGAAACAAAAUCAGUAUGUGCACAGCAAAAAAACACAGAAAGCAGAGGAAGUGUAUAUACAUGUAUCAAAAAUAUGUUAAAUAAAAACAUGCUAGUUGACCUAUAAAUCUGACAUGCUUGUAAAUACAACAAAAGCCCUGUUAGAUUUAUAUGUCAACUAGCAUAUCCGUAGGGCAAGUACAAGAAAACACAUCUUGCCCCUUAAAAUUGCAAUGACAAAUGACAACCAGGAUUCUGACUUUCAGGUCUUUAAAUCUAGUUAAAAUUGUAUGAAAUUUUUUUUGGACCCCUGCACAAGACUCAAAGGAUAUUAAAACUUCUAUAUUUAACAUAUAUACUUGUAUUUAAUGAUUCUUACUGAGGUAAGAGAAUCUGAAGACAUUGAGAUGAAGUGAAAUGAAUUUGACUCUUUAAUCUAUAUAGUAUGAUAUUUUUAGUUUCAGAUAUUUUCAUCAUUAGCUAGUCCUCAUCUUUAUGUGUAGAUCCAGAAUGUUUCCUAUUAAAGACUCCAGACACAAAACAAAAAUAAACAGAUUUAGUAACAUUUUCAUUUAAUAUAUUUUGGGAAAUAAAUAUUUUACUUUUUUAAAUAUUUGAAAGAUUGUGUGACAACAAACACAUACAUAUUGUUAAUUUUUGAUACAAUAAAGCACAAUUUUUAGUUAUCUCAAAUCUAAGCACAAGAAUAAACAUUAAGUUAUUGGUAAUUGAUUGACAAAUGUUUUAUUGGCUGCAAAACAAGUAUUGAUUGAACCUCAGUCAAUCUAUUACAUACAUGUUGAAUUUCUUGGUGAAAUGCACUUCGUAGCUAUGUUUCAUACUCUGUGAUUUUUAUUCAAAUAUGAAUUUUCGGUGGGAUAUUAAAAUGCAUUUUAUUUACAUUUAUUCAUAUACAAUUCACCUAAUUUUAGAUUUCACUGAUAUAAUAAACAGGAAAAGAAUGUUUACAUGUAUUAAUUAUGUAUGAGACAUGCAAAGUUGUUGUUUUAGUGUACAUGUAUAUUAUAUGUAAAUAAAUAUAAAAAAAAUAUUCAUAAUGUUA
rnacentral:lncRNA from 1 species